GACGGAGGGUGCUAGCGUUGUUCGGAAUGACUGGGCGUAAAGGGCGCGUAGGCGGCCGCUUGCGUCGGAUGUGAAAGCCCGGGGCUCAACCCCGGAACGGCAUCCGAUACGGGGCGGCUCGAGUCCGAGAGAGGUGAGUGGAAUACCCAGUGUAGAGGUGAAAUUCGUAGAUAUUGGGUGGAACACCGGUGGCGAAAGCGGCUCACUGGCUCGGUUCUGACGCUGAGGCGCGAAAGCGUGGGGAGCAAACAGG
rnacentral:rRNA from 1 species